rnacentral:SRP_RNA from 1 species
GCUGGGCGUGGUGGCGCAUGCCUGUAGUCCCAGCUACUCGGGAAGCUGAGGUAGGAGAAUCGCUUGAACCAGGGAGGUGGAGUUUGCAGUGAGCUGAGAUGGUGCCACUGCACUCCAGCCUGGUGACAGAGUGAGACUCUGUCUCCA